UACGUAGGGUCGCAGCGUUGUCCGGAAUUACUGGGCGUAAAGAGCUCGUAGGUGGUUUGUCGCGUUGUUCGUGAAAACUCACAGCUUAACUGUGGGCGUGCGGGCGAUACGGGCAGACUUGAGUACUGCAGGGGAGACUGGAAUUCCUGGUGUAGCGGUGGAAUGCGCAGAUAUCAGGAGGAACACCGGUGGCGAAGGCGGGUCUCUGGGCAGUAACUGACGCUGAGGAGCGAAAGCGUGGGGAGCGAACAGG
rnacentral:rRNA from 1 species